AAGUUUUGAAAAGUCUUGGCCCCCAGCCUAAAAAAAAAAAAAGGGAAAAAGAAAAACGAAAAAAAAAGAGAAAAGAAAAAAAAAAUAAAAAGAAAAGAAAAAGGGGGCUAGCAAAGUUAAAAAAAAAAAAAAAAAAAAAAAAAAAAAAAAAAAAAAAAAAAAAAAAAAGAAAAAGGGGGCUAGCAAAGUUGUUAGGAGCUAAGAAAUGUUUUGAGGUU
rnacentral:lncRNA from 1 species